CCUACGGGCGGCUGCAGUGGGGAAUAUUGGACAAUGGGCGCAAGCCUGAUCCAGCCAUACCGCGUGGGUGACGAAGGCCUUCGGGUUGUAAAGCCCUUUUGUUGGGAAAGAAAUCCGGCUGGCUAAUACCCGGUUGGGAUGACGGUACCCAACGAAUAAGCACCGGCUAACUUCGUGCCCGCAGCCGCGGUAAUACGAAGGGUGCAAGCGUUACUCGGAAUUACUGGGCGUAAAGCGUGCGUAGGUGGUCGAUGAAGUCGGUUGUGAAAGCCCGGGGCUCAACCUGGGAGCUGCAGUGGAUACGGGGCGACUAGAGUGUGGUAGAGGGUAGCGGAAUUCCUGGUGUAGCAGUGAAAUGCGUAGAGAUCAGGAGGAACAUCCAUGGCGAAGGCAGCUACCUGGACCAACACUGACACUGAGGCACGAAAGCGUGGGGAGCAAACAGGAUUAGAUACCCGUGUAGUC
rnacentral:rRNA from 1 species